rfam:Ceriporiopsis subvermispora B unplaced genomic scaffold CERSTscaffold_2, whole genome shotgun sequence.
GGCCCUGUAGUGUAGCGGUUAUCACACGGGAUUCUGAUCAGAUCCGAUCAUAAUCGGUCGAUCGAAAUUUCCCGUAACCCAGGUUCGAUUCCUGGCAAGGCCU